rnacentral:misc_RNA from 1 species
UGUGGGAGCGAGCCUGCUCGCGAUAGCUGCCUGACAUUCGGUUUUUCAGUGACUGAACGACCGCUAUCGCGAGCAGGCUCGCUCCCACA